ensembl:snRNA U2 U2 spliceosomal RNA
AUCGCUUCUCAGCCUUUUGGCUCGGAUCAAGUGCAGUAUCUGUUCUCAUCAGUUUAAUAUCUGAUACGUCCUCGAUGAGAGGACUUAGAUUUAUUAUAUUUUUUUUUCCCAGGGAGGUGGUGCAGUCACCGACCCUGGAGGUGUUCAAGGAACGUUU